UUAUUUGAAAAAGGAUACAACCUAGUACAAUGGGUAAGAUACAACAUACUUGUCCUAAGUGGGCCUGAAAGCAGCCACCUUUUAAAAAGCGUUAAAGCUUAAUAUUACCUUUACUCACCAAUUCCAACAUUCCCUACGAACCCUUAACUACAACUGAAUAAUUCUAUAAUACUAUAGAAGAUAUAAUGCUAAAACUAGUAACAAGAAGUUGACCUUCUCCAAAAUGCAAGCAAAAACCUAAUCGGACCAACCAUUGGUUAAUAACGCCUAUGAACUAAAUAUAGUAACUCACUCUAGUAAAAUCUAUAAAUAAAAGCGUUAACCUUACACAAGAGCAUUUCUGGAAAGAUUAAAAGAAAAAGAAGGAACUCGGCAAAUCCAGGCCUCGCCUGUUUACCAAAAACAUCGCCUCUUGACUUCCAUAAGAGGUCCAGCCUGCCCAGUGAUACUAUUAAACGGCCGCGGUACCCUGACCGUGCGAAGGUAGCAUAAUAACUUGUUCUUUAAAUGGGGACUAGCAUGAACGGCAUCACGAGGGUCUCACUGUCUCCUUUUUCUAAUCAGUGAAACUGAUCUCCCCGUGAAGAAGCGGGGAUAAAAAU
rnacentral:rRNA from 1 species